ensembl:lncRNA
GGAACAGCCUUUCAGCUGAAAGACAAAUAGAAUCUGAGGAUCUAAUGUAUAACAUGCUAACUGUAGUUGAUAAUACUGCAUUGUUUCUAAGAGAAUAGAAGGUAUAUGCUCUCACACACAAAGGAAAUAUGUGAGGUGAUAGGUAUGUUAAUUACCUAGAUGAGGGAAGUCCUUUCAUGAUAUAUACAUGUAUCAAAUGACCACAAUGCACACUUAAAUAUUUCACAAUUUUAUUUGUCAGUUAUACCUCAGUAAAGCUGAAAAACAGUAGUCCUCAUUGAGCUGAAGUGGGAGCUUUAGAAAUGGGAACAUGUUCUAGGUCAAGGAUGUACCCCAGAUUCAUGUGCUGAAGGCCUGACUCUUAGUGUCUCAGAAUGUGACCUUAUUUGAAGAUGGGGUCGUUACAGUUAAAAUGAGGUCAUUAGAGUGAGUCCUAAUUCAAUGAGUAGUGUCUUUAUAAGAAGAGGAAGUUUGGAGGCAGGCACAGUGGGAGAAAGCUUUGUAGAGAUGAAGUCAGAGAUCCUACAAGCAGAGGAAUACCAGAAAUUGCAGCAAAGCACCAGAAGCCAGGUGGGUGCAUGGAACAUACUCUUUUCCACAGCCGUCAGAAAGAGUCAACCUUGCUGCCACCUUGAUCUUGAAUUUCUAGCCUUCAGAACUGUGAGACCGUAGAUAUCUGUCAUUUAAGCCACCCAGCCUGUGACUCUGUGACACAGCCCUAGGAAACCAGUACAGAAUGUGAUAAUACAGUCACCUGUUUCUAAGUCUAUCCCUUACAAAUAAGAAAGGGCGAAAAUAUAGCCCCUUCCCAUGUCUAUGUCCAUAUCUAUAUCUAUCAGCGUCUACUUCGUAUACCAAAGAGCUGUUGUUCAGUUGCUCAGGUGCGUCCACUCUUUGGGACCCCGUGGACUGCAGCACACCAGGUUUCCCUGUCCAUCUCCAACUCCUGGAGCUUGCUCAAACUCAUGUCCAUUGAGUUGAUGAUGCCAUCCAACCAUCUCAUCCUCUGUCAUCCCCUUCUCCUCCUGCCUUCAAUCUUUCCCAGCAUCAGGGUCUUUUCCAAUGAGUCAGCUCUUUGCAUCAGGUGGCCAGAAUAUUGGAUCUUCAGCUUCAGCAUCAUUCCAAUGAAUAUUCAGGGUUGUUUUCCUUUAGGAUUGACUGAUUUGACCUCCUUGUGCUGUCCAAGGGACUCUCAAGAAUCUUCUCCAACACCACAGUUCGAAAGCAUCAAUACCAAGGAGUAUGUGUAUAGAAAGCACAGGAAUACUGGGAAUGGUGAGAGUAUUCAUUUGAUUCACUGGACAAAUGUGAAGUUGGUGGUUUAAUCAGUGGAUUACUCUUUUUUGAGUGUAAUCAGGUUGACUCCCACUUGGCUGCCUUUCUUGUGUAAAUUGUCAUCUCUUGAAAACUUCAGGGGGCUUAUUUUGUGGAAAUCUCUGCAGGUACCCUGGCUGCUCCUUGCCAAUUGGGACGAAUCUCUUGACUUGAAAAACAGUGUGGUGGCUGACAUUUCCUGCUACUGAGGAAAACAAAGGUGUGACUGAGGUGCCAAUCUGCCUCAGUGGGCAUGCUGCUUCAGCAGGACAGGGUGAAGAGUGGCCCUGUGGAGAACUCUCCAGCUAACUAUCAUUAGGCAGCACGUCUGUCUAAUUGAGGAAGCAGGAUGGCCAAGCACUUUUAAUCAACUUGAAUAUUAGUUGGAAUGAAUUGGCAAUUUGGAAGCCAUUUAAGCUGAUCCUUAAUGAUGUCUGUCCACUUGCUGUGAAUUCUUCACUUUCACCAGUGCCAGUCUUGUCUGUCUUGGAUGCCCUUUAUGUCAGAGGCCAACAGAAUCUUUCUGUAAAGGAACAAAGAGUAAAUAUUUUGGACUUCGUACGUCAUGCAGCCUUUCUGAGUCAUAGACAAUAUGUAAGUGAGUGGCAUUCUUAUACCCCAUAAAUCACCCUUUAUGUGAUGGGCCAGGUUUGCCCCGUGGGCCAUAGUUUGCCAUCCCUACUAUAUGCUGUUUUGCCCAUUUUACAGAUGAAGGAACAGAGGCUUAGGGGGUUUAAGUGAUGGAUAAGAAUUGCACAACUCUUCAGGUGUAGAACUGGGAUUCUAACCCAAGGAGUCUGACUCCAUCCCAUAAUUUUAUCUCCUAAGAACUACUAUGUUAUCCUGCUUUGGGAAAUGACAAAGAAUGGAAUUUUAGUUUCUGCAUGUGGUGACUUAUAGAUUAUCACCCAAACUUCUGAGAGAAACCUUCAUUUCCCUUAAAAAACUUGUAUAGGGAAAAGUGUCAUUUCAUAUCCUGAAGAUGUUAUUUAGGUAAAGUAGAAAGUCUGACCAAGUUAGUCACUCAGUCGUGUCCGACUCUCUGCAACCCCACGGACUGUAGCCUGUCAGGCUCUUCUGUCCAUGGGAUUUUCCAGGCAAGAAUAUUGAUGUGGGUAGCCAUUCCCUUCUCCAGGAGAUCUUCCUGACCAAGGGAUCGAACCUGGGUCUCCUACAUUGCAGGCAGACUACCGUCUGAGCCACCAGAUAGUCUAAUCCAUAGCAUAUUCAAAUCAUGGGACUGUGCCCUCAGAUAAUUGAAUAAAGCUUUUCCGAUUCUCCAUAUGACUUGAUGUUGUGAUCAUUUUCAUCAAUAGAUUUGUGGAAGGCAAAUUACCCUA